rnacentral:rRNA from 1 species
AGAGUUUGAUCMUGGCUCAGAAUGAACGCUGGCGGCGUGCUUAACACAUGCAAGUCGUACGAGAACUCCUUAGCUUGCUAAGGAAAGUAAAGUGGCGUACGGGUGAGUAACGCGUGGGUAAUCUACCCCAUAAUUUGGGAUAACAUUGCGAAAGCGAUGCUAAUACCGAAUAAUAUCUGAUAACUACGGUUAUUCAGAUCAAAGGUGGCCUCUAUAUAUAAGCUACUGUUUUGGGAUGAGCCCGCGUACCAUUAGCUUGUUGGUAGGGUAAUGGCCUACCAAGGCUACGAUGGUUAGCUGGUCUGAGAGGAUGAUCAGCCACACUGGAACUGGCACACGGUCCAGACUCCUACGGGAGGCAGCAGUGGGGAAUUUUGCGCAAUGGGGGAAACCCUGACGCAGCAACGCCGCGUGAGUGAUGAAGGCUCUUGGGUCGUAAAGCUCUGUUAAGUGGGAAGAACCAAAAAAUGUAAAUAUCAUUUUUUCUGACGGUACCACUAGAGGAAGCACCGGCUAACUCCGUGCCAGCAGCCGCGGUAAUA